GUAUCCUUACCUGAAUACAUAGGGUAAGGAGGCGAACCGGGGGAACUGAAACAUCUAAGUACCCCGAGGAAAAGAAAUCAACCGAGAUUCCGAAAGUAGCGGCGAGCGAAAUUGGACUAGCCCUUAAGCUUUACACGCGUUAGACGAACGGUCUGGAAAGUCCGACGAUACAGGGUGAUAGUCCCGUAGUUGACGACGUGUGUUCAGUGAAAUCGAGUAGGGCGGGACACGUGAUAUCCUGUCUGAAUAUGGGGGGACCAUCCUCCAAGGCUAAAUACUACUGACUGACCGAUAGUGAACCAGUACCGUGAGGGAAAGGCGAAAAGAACCCCUGUGAGGGGAGUGAAAUAGAACCUGAAACCGUGUACGUACAAGCAGUAGGAGCAGGCUUUGUCCUGUGACUGCGUACCUUUUGUAUAAUGGGUCAGCGACUUAUAUUCAGUGGCAAGGUUAACCAUCUAGGGGAGCCGUAGGGAAACCGAGUCUUAACUGGGCGUUCAGUCUCUGGAUAUAGACCCGAAACCAGGUGAUCUAGCCAUGGGCAGGUUGAAGGUUGAGUAACAUCAACUGGAGGACCGAACCGACUAAUGUUGAAAAAUUAGCGGAUGACUUGUGGCUAGGGGUGAAAGGCCAAUCAAACCUGGAGAUAGCUGGUUCUCCCCGAAAGCUAUUUAGGUAGCGCCUCGGACAAAUACUACGUGGGGGUAGAGCACUGUUAAGGCUAGGGGGUCAUCCCGACUUACCAACCCUUUGCAAACUCCGAAUACCAGUAAGUACUAUCCGGGAGACACACGGCGGGUGCUAACGUCCGUCGUGGAGAGGGAAACAACCCAGACCGCCAGCUAAGGUCCCAAAUUACUACUAAGUGGGAAACGAUGUGGGAAGGCUCAGACAGCCAGGAUGUUGGCUUAGAAGCAGCCAUCAUUUAAAGAAAGCGUAAUAGCUCACUGGUCGAGUCGGCCUGCGCGGAAGAUGUAACGGGGCUAAGUAGUAAACCCGAAGCUGCGGCAAUGUGCUUUUGCACAUUGGGUAGGGGAGCGUUCUGUAAGCGGUUGAAGGUGUGUGGUAACGCAUGCUGGACGUAUCAGAAGUGCGAAUGCUGACAUGAGUAACGAUAAAGGGGGUGAAAAACCUCCUCGCCGGAAGACCAAGGGUUCCUGUCCAACGUUAAUCGGGGCAGGGUAAGUCGACCCCUAAGGCGAGGCCGAAAGGCGUAGUCGAUGGGAAACGGGUUAAUAUUCCCGUACUUCUUACAAUUGCGAUGGGGGGACGGAGAAGGCUAGGUGGGCCUGGCGACGGUUGUCCAGGUUCAAGUGCGUAGGCUUGAGAGUUAGGUAAAUCCGGCUCUUUUUAAGGCUGAGACACGACGUCGAGCACUACGGUGUGAAGUCAUUGAUGCCAUGCUUCCAGGAAAAGCCUCUAAGCUUCAGAUUGUAAGGAAUCGUACCCCAAACCGACACAGGUGGUCGGGUAGAGAAUACCAAGGCGCUUGAGAGAACUCGGGUGAAGGAACUAGGCAAAAUGGUACCGUAACUUCGGGAGAAGGUACGCUCUCGACGGUGAAGUCCCUCGCGGAUGGAGCUAUUGAGAGUCGCAGAUACCAGGUGGCUGCAACUGUUUAUUAAAAACACAGCACUGUGCAAAAUCGUAAGAUGACGUAUACGGUGUGACGCCUGCCCGGUGCCGGAAGGUUAAUUGAUGGGGUUAGACUUCGGUCGAAGCUCUUGAUCGAAGCCCCGGUAAACGGCGGCCGUAACUAUAACGGUCCUAAGGUAGCGAAAUUCCUUGUCGGGUAAGUUCCGACCUGCACGAAUGGCGUAAUGAUGGCCACGCUGUCUCCACCCGAGACUCAGUGAAAUUGAAAUCGCUGUGAAGAUGCAGUGUACCCGCGGCUAGACGGAAAGACCCCGUGAACCUUUACUACAGCUUGGCACUGAACAUUGACCCUACAUGUGUAGGAUAGGUGGGAGGCUUUGAAGCACGUACGCCAGUAUGUGUGGAGCCGUCCUUGAAAUACCACCCUUGUAGUGUUGAUGUUCUAACGUCGACCCCUUAUCGGGGUUGCGGACAGUGCCUGGUGGGUAGUUUGACUGGGGCGGUCUCCUCCCAAAGAGUAACGGAGGAGCACGAAGGUGGGCUAAUCACGGUUGGACAUCGUGAGGUUAGUGCAAUGGCAUAAGCCCGCUUGACUGCGAGAAUGACAAUUCGAGCAGGUGCGAAAGCAGGUCAUAGUGAUCCGGUGGUUCUGAAUGGAAGGGCCAUCGCUCAACGGAUAAAAGGUACUCCGGGGAUAACAGGCUGAUACCGCCCAAGAGUUCAUAUCGACGGCGGUGUUUGGCACCUCGAUGUCGGCUCAUCACAUCCUGGGGCUGAAGUCGGUCCCAAGGGUAUGGCUGUUCGCCAUUUAAAGUGGUACGCGAGCUGGGUUUAGAACGUCGUGAGACAGUUCGGUCCCUAUCUGCCGUGGGCGUUGGAAGAUUGAAGGGGGCUGCUCCUAGUACGAGAGGACCGGAGUGGACGAACCUCUGGUGUUCGGGUUGUGUCGCCAGACGCAUUGCCCGGUAGCUAAGUUCGGAAUCGAUAACCGCUGAAAGCAUCUAAGCGGGAAGCGAGCCCUGAGAUGAGUCUUCCCUGAUACUUUAAGUAUCCUAAAGGGUUGUCGGAGACUACGACGUUGAUAGGUCAGGUGUGUAAGUGCUGUGAGGCAUUGAGCUAACUGAUACUAAUUGCCCGUGAGGCUUAACCAUACAACACCCAAGGGGUUU
rnacentral:rRNA from 1 species